UACGUAGGGGGCAAGCGUUGUCCGGAAUCAUUGGGCGUAAAGAGCGUGUAGGCGGCCCGAUAAGUCCGCCGUGAAAGUCCAGGGCUCAACCCUGGAAUGCCGGUGGAAACUGUCGGGCUGGAGUCCGGAAGAGGCGAGUGGAAUUCCUGGUGUAGCGGUGAAAUGCGUAGAUAUCGAGAGGAACACCUGCGGCGAAGGCGGGUUGCUGGGCUGACACUGACGCUGAGGCGCGAAAGCUAGGGGAGCGAACGGG
rnacentral:rRNA from 1 species